GUGCCCACUUCGGCAGUACAUAUACUAAAAUUUGAAUGAUGCAAAGAUUAUCAUGGCCCCUGCACAAGAAUGACAUGUAAAUUCAUGAAGUGUUCCAUAGUUUU